rnacentral:rRNA from 1 species
ACUGCUCAGUAACACGUGGACAACCUACCCUGAAGAGGGGGAUAACCCCGGGAAACUGGGGAUAAUACCCCAUAGACUAUGGAUGCUGGAAUGCUCUGUAGUUCAAAGGUCCGCCGCUUCAGGAUGGGUCUGCGGCCGAUUAGGUUGUUGUUGGGGUAACGGCCCAACAAGCCUGUAAUCGGUACGGGUUGUGGGAGCAAGAGCCCGGAGAUGGAUUCUGAGACACGAAUCCAGGCCCUACGGGGCGCAGCAGGCGCGAAAACUUUGCAAUGCGAGAAAUCGUGACAAGGGAACUCCGAGUGCCUGUAAAAUCAGGCUGUCCGCCAGUGUAAACAACUGGUGAAGAAAGGGCCGGGCAAGACCGGUGCCAGCCGCCGCGGUAAUACCGGCGGCUCGAGUGGUGGCCACUAUUACUGGGCUUAAAGCGUUCGUAGCUGGCUUGUUAAGUCUCUGGGGAAAUCUUCCGGCUUAACCGGAAGGCGUCUCAGGGAUACUGGCAGGCUAGGGACCGGAAGAGGUGAGAGGUACUCCAGGGGUAGGAGUGAAAUCCUGUAAUCCUUGGGGGACCACCUGUGGCGAAGGCGUCUCACCAGGACGGCUCCGACAGUGAGGAACGAAAGCUGGGGGAGCAAACCGGAUUAGAUACCCGGGUAGUCCCAGCUGUAAACGAUGCGCGUUAGGUGUAUCGGUGACCACGAGUCACCGAGGUGCCGAAGAGAAAUCGUGAAACGCGCCGCCUGGGAAGUACGGUCGCAAGGCUGAAACUUAAAGGAAUUGGCGGGGGAGCAC